rnacentral:misc_RNA from 1 species
GACAGGGUCCUUUCAAGGGCUAUCGGGGGCGGGUUGUAGAAAUCAAAGGCCAAUCUGUUCGAGUUGAGUUGGAGUCCCAAAUGAAAGUUAUUUUAGUUGAUCGCACUAAUAUUUCCGACAAUGUAGUUGUAUCAACCCCAUACCGUGAUUCAUCUCGAUAUGGUAUGGGAAGUGAAACUCCUAUGCAUCCUUCUCGGACUCCACUGCACCCAUAUAUGACUCCAAUGAGAGAUGCUGGAGCAACGCCUAUUCAUGAUGGCAUGAGGACACCUAUGCGUGACCGAGCAUGGAAUCCUUAUGCACCAAUGAGUCCUCCUAGGGAUAAUUGGGAAGAUGGAAAUCCUGCUUCUUGGGGAACUAGUCCACAGUAUCAGCCAGGAAGCCCCCCUUCUCGGGCAUAUGAAGCUCCAACUCCUGGUUCAGGCUGGGCUAGCACUCCUGGUGGUAGUUAUAGCGAAGCUGGAACGCCAAGGGAUAGCAGUUCUGCCUAUGCCAAUGCUCCAAGCCCAUACUUGCCUUCAACUCCUGGUGGGCAGCCUACGACUCCAAGCUCUGCAGCCUACCUUCCUGGCACUCCUGGGGGGCAGCCGAUGACACCUGGAACCGGUGGUCUUGAUGUCAUGUCUCCUGUUAUAGGAGGGGACAAUGAAGGGCCAUGGUUCAUGCCGGACAUAUUGGUUAAUGUACGCAAGGCUGCUGAUGAAUCUUCUGUUGGUGUUAUCAGGGAGGUGCUUCCGGAUGGUUCCUGUAGGGUAGUCCUUGGGGCAAAUGGCAAUAGGGAAACAAUCACAGCACUUCCGAAUGAAAUCGAGAUAGUGGUACCAAGGAAAUCAGAUAAGAUCAAGAUCAUGGGUGGUGCACAUCGUGGUGCCACUGGUAAGUUAAUCGGUGUGGAUGGGACUGAUGGAAUUGUAAAGGUGGAUGACACGCUUGAAGUUAAGAUAUUAGACAUGGUUAUACUGGCAAAACUGGCACAACCAUGAUUGUUGUGAUAAUAAAUGAAUGAAAAUUAUGUGUUCUUACCAUUGAGGAUCUCAUGUGGCUCCGUCCCUAUCUUCCUCCCUCUCUCGC